UACAGAGGUCCCAAGCGUUGUUCGGAUUUACUGGGCGUAAAGGGUGCGUAGGCGGUGGGGUAAGUUUGAGGUGAAAGCUCCGGGCUCAACCCGGAAAAUGCCUUGAAAACUAUCCGGCUAGAGGGUUGGAGGGGAGACUGGAAUUCUCGGUGUAGCAGUGAAAUGCGUAGAUAUCAGGAGGAACACCGGUGGCGAAGGCGGGUCUCUGGGCCGAUACUGACGCUGAGGAGCGAAAGCGUGGGGAGCGAACAGG
rnacentral:rRNA from 1 species